rnacentral:tRNA from 1 species
GUCAGGUUAGCAGAUAUGAAUGUACUUGAUUUAGGCUCAAGAGGAAAGGUUAACCUUACUUGACA